rnacentral:rRNA from 1 species
GGGUUUCGGCCCGUAUUGUGUGGUGACUCUGGAUAACUUUGUGCUGAUCGCAUGGCCACGAGCCGGCGACGUUUCUUUCAAGUGUCUGCCUUAUCAACUUUCGAUGGUAGGUUACUUGCUUACCAUGGUUGUUACGGGUAACGGAGAAUCAGGGUUCGAUUCCGGAGAGGGAGCCUGAGAAACGGCUACCACAUCCAAGGAAGGCAGCAGGCGCGCAAAUUACCCACUCCCGGCACGGGGAGGUAGUGACGAAAAAUAACAAUACGGGACUCUUUUGAGGCCCCGUAAUUGAAAUGAGUACACUCUAAAUCCUUUAACGAGGAUCAAUUUGAGGGCAAGUCUGGUGCCAGCAGCCGCGGUAAUUCCAGCUCCAAUAGCGUAUACUAAAGCUGCUGCGGUUAAAAAGCUCGUAGUUGGAUCUCAGUUCCAGACGAGUAGUGCAUCUACCCGAUGCGACGGCUCGGACUGAACAUCAUGCCGGUACUUUCUUGGUGCACUUCAUUGUGUGCCUCGAGAUGGCCGGUGCUUUUACUUUGAAAAAAUUAGAGUGCUCAACGCAGGCGAGUCGCCUGAAUAAACUUGCAUGGAAUAAUA